GCUGGUGAUGGCGUGCCUUUUGAAGAAUGAGCCUGCGAGUUAGUGGCAUGUCGCGAGGUUAACCCGUGUGGGGUAGCCGUAGCGAAAGCGAGUCCGAAUAGGGCGUAUCCACGUUUGUGGUGUAGUGGCGUGUUCUAGACCCGAAGCGGAGUGAUCUACCCAUGGCCAGGUUGAAGCGACGGUAAGACGUCGUGGAGGACCGAACCCACUUAGGUUGAAAACUGAGGGGAUGAGUUGUGGGUAGGGGUGAAAGGCCAAUCAAACUCCGUGAUAGCUGGUUCUCCCCGAAAUGCAUUUAGGUGCAGCGUCACGUGUUUCUCACCGGAGGUAGAGCUACUGGAUGGUCUAGGGGGCCUACAAGCUUACCGAAAUCAGCCAAACUCCGAAUGCCGGUGAGUGAGAGCGUGGCAGUGAGACUGCGGGCGAUAAGGUUCGUAGUCGAGAGGGAAACAGCCCAGAUCGCCAGCUAAGGUCCCUAAGCGUGUACUAAGUGGAAAAGGAUGUGGGGUCGCGAAGACAACCAGGAGGUUGGCUUAGAAGCAGCCACCCUUGAAAGAGUGCGUAAUAGCUCACUGGUCAAGUGAUCCUGCGCCGACAAUGUAGCGGGGCUCAAGUACACCACCGAAGCUGCGGCACUCACACAAUAGCCCCAUUCAGGUCUGCGGAUCUGUGUGCAGGUGUGUGGGUGGGUAGGGGAGCGUCGUGCAGCCAUGGAAGCAUCGGAGUGAUCCAGGUGUGGAGGCUGCGCGAGUGAGAAUGCAGGCAUGAGUAGCGAAAGACGAGUGAGAAACUCGUCCGCCGAAUGACCAAGGGUUCCUGGGCCAGGUUAAUCCGCCCAGGGUGAGUCGGGACCUAAGACGAGGCCGACAGGCGUAGCCGAUGGACAACGGGUUGAUAUUCCCGUACCCGUGUAACCGCGCCCAUGGUGAAUCAGUGACACUAACCACCCUGAAUC
rnacentral:rRNA from 1 species